rnacentral:rRNA from 2 species
AGAGUUUGAUCCUGGCUCAGGAUGAACGCUAGCGGCAGGCCUAAUACAUGCAAGUCGAACGAGAUUAAGAGGCUUGCUUCUUAUGAAAGUGGCGCACGGGUGCGUAACGCGUAUGCAACCUACCUUAAUCAGGGGGAUAGCCCGAAGAAAUUCGGAUUAAGACCGCAUAAAAACACAGGAUAGCAUUAUCCAAUGUUCAAAUAUUUAUAGGAUUAAGAUGGGCAUGCGUGUCAUUAGCUAGUUGGCGGGGUAACGGCCCACCAAGGCGACGAUGACUAGGGGAUCUGAGAGGAUGACCCCCCACACUGGUACUGAGACACGGACCAGACUCCUACGGGAGGCAGCAGUAAGGAAUAUUGGUCAAUGGAGGGAACUCUGAACCAGCCAUGCCGCGUGCAGGAAGACAGCCCUCUGGGUCGUAAACUGCUUUUAUUCGGGAAUAAACCUUUCUACGUGUAGGAAGCUGAAUGUACCGAAGGAAUAAGGAUCGGCUAACUCCGUGCCAGCAGCCGCGGUAAUACGGAGGAUCCAAGCGUUAUCCGGAUUUAUUGGGUUUAAAGGGUGCGUAGGCGGCUUAUUAAGUCAGGGGUGAAAGACGGUGGCUCAACCAUCGCAGUGCCCUUGAUACUGAUGAGCUUGAAUACACUAGAGGUAGGCGGAAUGUGACAAGUAGCGGUGAAAUGCAUAGAUAUGUCACAGAACACCGAUUGCGAAGGCAGCUUACUAUGGUGUUAUUGACGCUGAGGCACGAAAGCGUGGGGAUCAAACAGGAUUAGAUACCCUGGUAGUCCACGCCCUAAACGAUGAAUACUCGCUGUUAGCGAUAUACAGUUAGCGGCUAAGCGAAAGCGUUAAGUAUUCCACCUGGGGAGUACGCCCGCAAGGGUGAAACUCAAAGGAAUUGACGGGGGCCCGCACAAGCGGUGGAGCAUGUGGUUUAAUUCGAUGAUACGCGAGGAACCUUACCCGGGCUUGAAAGUUAGUGAAUGAUCUAGAGAUAGAUCAGUGAGCAAUCACACGAAACUAGGUGCUGCAUGGCUGUCGUCAGCUCGUGCCGUGAGGUGUUGGGUUAAGUCCCGCAACGAGCGCAACCCCUAUGUUUAGUUGCCAGCACGUUAAGGUGGGGACUCUAAACAGACUGCCUGUGCAAACAGAGAGGAAGGAGGGGACGACGUCAAGUCAUCAUGGCCCUUACGUCCGGGGCUACACACGUGCUACAAUGGAUGGUACAGAGGGCAGCAAGCUGGCAACAGCAAGCGAAUCUCAAAAAGCCAUUCACAGUUCGGAUAGAGGUCUGCAACUCGACCUCUUGAAGUUGGAUUCGCUAGUAAUCGCGUAUCAGCAAUGACGCGGUGAAUACGUUCCCGGGCCUUGUACACACCGCCCGUCAAGCCAUGGAAGUUGGGGGUACCUAAAGUAUGUAACCGUAAGGAGCGUCCUAGGGUAAAACCGAUAACUGGGGCUAAGUCGUAACAAGGUAGCCGUACCGGAAGGUGCGGCUG